GGCAGCUGGCGGGCAGGAGCCGUGCUGACGCCGGCGGCGGCGGCGGCGUCGGCGGCGGCCCGGGCGCAGGGCGCUGGGCACCCGGCGCAAGUCAGGUCGCCGCGCGACUAGGGCAGUCCGCGUCGCCAUGGUCCGCUCCCCGAGUUCGAAGCCCGUGGCCGAGGAGUCUGCACAAACUGCAUUCAUUGGCAGAAGAUGCGAUGGAAACCAUCAGUGUUAGGGGGUUGAUGACCUGGAACUUUGACAGAGUGUGUGUGAUAGAUCGAAGAGGCUCAACAUGUUUCAAAUGAAGGACUCUGCACCUAGAAGUGAGCACCAGAUCUGGGCAGAUAGAGUUUCCCAGGGAGCCUGGCUGCACCCUGGCCUGCGGUGUCUGUAAAACUGCCACAAAACUCAGGACAAGCUGCUUUUUCCGAAAGAGAAAGCAAGAGAUGAUUUUAAGUAUCCAAAUUGCUUUGAAAUGAAGUCUGUACUGAUAACUGAGAGAAGAGGGGCUUAUAGGUUUCACGGAGUCGCAAAGGUUUUCGUAGCCUCUGCUUUCAUCUGCUUGGAAACGCCAGCCUGUUUUUCACCUCGGUCGUGUGUGGAGGUUAAGAAAGUGGGCAUUAGCGCUCAGUCUCCUGGGUUUGUGUUCUGACUCUGCUGCUCUUAGCCGGGCAGGUUAUUUGACCUCACUUUGCCUGUUUCUUCUUUAAAGUGGGGAUAGUCACGGUACCUACUUGUUAAAUUGAUGAGGAUUACAAGUGGGAUUAUCCAGAUAAGGUAUUUAUCAUAGGCCUUGGGAUUAUGUAUGAUAUGUCUGACCAUCACCAGUAUUUUCCAGGGCACCAUAGGCUUCACGAGGACAGGAGCUGUUGCCUUCCUCACUGCUGUAACCCCAAGUCCUAGUACAGUGCCUGCCUGGUACACAGUAAUCUCUGCGUUUGUUGGGUAAAUGAAUAAUGUACUUCAGCAGGAAGGUGGUCUUUCCUUUUCAGCUCCCCAUUGGAGGUGCAUUAGUCCCGUUUUUUUGUCAAGAGCUUCAAUCCACCCAGACCCUGACCCUAAUUUUUCCUCCCUUGUUUGAUCGUUCGCACCCGGCUUCCCAAGAUAGAAACCUAGAUUCCCCUCAAUUCUUCCCUUAUUUUCUUGGGCCUGGGCAUUUAGGCAUCCACAGAGCUCAGCCAUUUCCAUUCCUAAGUGUCUCCACUACUUCUGCGAGAGUUGAGCUGCCUUGGCUCUUCUCAUUUAUAGCUUUUAGUUAUUGCUGUGGCUUCCAAACUGUUGUGUUCCUCCUCCUCUUUCUCUGCCGCCUCCCCCAUAGUCCCACUGGAAUUUCCCUGCUAGAUACGAUCCACUUUUGCUCACAAAUCACUUCUUAGCCUAACGGACGACACUCUUCCUACUAUGGCCCUUGAAAACUUUGCAGGAUCAUCUCUAGAGACUGACCCCACCCUCCCUAAGCUUUAACUGGAUGUUCUCUCAAGUCUGAAUACAUGAGUGUGUGUGUGUGUGUGUGUGUGUGUGUGUGUGUGUGUGUGUGUGUUUCCAUUGGCUAGUCGAAAUACUUUUUCUCCCCUUGGAGCCCUCAUCUUCCUCAAGCUUCAGAGCCCCAUAGCCUGUUAAUCCUCCUCAUCAAGGCUAGUGCUCUUCCCUCUGAGCUCCAAUAAAGCUGUGUGGUGACUGCUGUGGCAUCUACCCAGUGGACUCUCUGAUCUGGCUACUUGUUUGUAGCUCUUGUUCCACUGUGGCAUCCUUUAGGACAAAUGCCCAAGGAGUAUGCAUUUUAGGAAGAAGGGAGCAAAGCUGCUUUGGUAAGGCGACUCAUCUGGAAGCCCUGCUCUUUCCUAUCUUGUCAACAACAUUUCUUCUGCUUCAGAGAUCACUGGCUCGGUUCUCUGUUUUCCAAUCCCUCUUUUCCCUCCACCGGCUUCUUUUCGUUCAUUGAAAAGUGCUAUGGGAGCUCCUGGGUGGCUCAUUGGGUCAGCUCAGGUCCUGAUCUCACCUUCAAGGGUUCGAGCCCCACAUCAGGCUCUGUGCUGACAGCUCGGAGCCAGGAACCUGCUUCGGAUUCUGUGUCUCCCUCUCUGUCUCUGCCCCUCCCCUGCUCACGGUCUGUCUCUGUGUCUCUCAAAAAUAAAAUAGAACAUUAAAAGAAAAGAAAAAAGAAAAGUGCUAUGAAGGAGACAGAAAAUAAAGUCCUUCAUAACUCUGCCCUCACAAAACAGACAAACAGUGAGAGAACAGCCCUGGCCAAGGCAUUGUAAUAAAACAAACUAGAAAACACAAACAAAAAUAACCAAAAGCCAAACCAAAACCAAAUGGAGAACGAAUCACCUCUUUUCUGUAGCCAAAUCCAUUGCCUUUCAAAACCCGAACAUUGGGUAUUGAAGUUUUUAGAGCAGAGAAUGAGUCACAGACAUUUAAAAAUCAAUUCUGAGAAACUGAAAAUCUCUUUCAUGAACCUUUAAGUUUGAUCACUUAACUUACAUUUGCAGCCCCCCAAUUUUAAGUGAUAUACCUUCUUUAAGACAUUUAAAAAAAUUCUAAACUUUAAAGAUGUUCAAAAAGAAAUUCUAAACCUUAAAGAUGUCUGAACUGCCAGCAUUUGUUAAAUUCGACUUUUCAGUGUUUUCAUCUUGUUCUGAGAUGUUAAGAAGAUACAAAAAUAAACCAAAAAAAAAUCCCCCUCUUUUUAGGUUGUUUCUGUUUAAGUACAGAGUAAUAUCUUUUAAGAGUAGGAUACAUAGUAGUAACAUUUAACAAAAAAAUUAGGGUCUAACAUCUUUUACCAUCUUUGACUAGCAUGAUUGUUUUUAAGGCCACAAGGAGACUCUUCUGAUACCACGUGCAUAAAAUUAGCAUUUAAAAGUAAAAGAACUAGCAAAACAA